UAUAUAUAUAUAUUUUUUUUCACACACAAGAAAUCAAUGUAUGCUUUCCAUGUACUCCUCAACUUGCUGUCGUCCGAUACAGGGAAACAUAAAUGUACAUUAAGGGAUUUGACAAAGUUGUUUAUCGAACACAAAUCGUUAAAAACCAAGGGAAGGAUGCGGAGGCAGCAAUUCCUGUUAUACUUGGGGACGAUGGAUGAUCCCCAGCAAUUUUUUGUUAUUUUGGAUACUCACGCCAUCUCUUGUUUGGAUAACAUCAUAUCUGCAGCUGAUCGGCUUUUCUAGCUGCACUACAUCCUUAACCUACAUUAUGUAAAAGCCCUUGAAUUUUGUUAUUUCUUCCUGGAAGUGCAUGCAUAUAACAUCAGUUUGCCUGGAGAAAAGAUUCCAAAUAAAGUAGCGGAACUAAUUUCUAACCUGGCAGCACUAAAAUUAUAGAGAUUAACAAAUUAUCUAUCUCUGAAUCUUGUUGAUUUAGACUUUAUUAUAAAAAUCCUAAUUUCAUUUUUUAUUUGUAUAUCUAGGAAUAGUACACCUGAGAUGUUGUCAUCAUAAUUGAUGAAAAGCAGCCACAUUAUUAUUUUUUAAUUUCCAUAUAAGCCAUAGCCUACUUGCACCUAAUGCUGAAACAUACAACCUGUCAACAUAAUACAAGCUUGGGUAUUCCAAUUAAGUUAUAACAAAUAGCAAUUUGAAUAUUGAAUUAAUUUUUCAAGUUUUUUUAGCUGAUGACAGACAUAUAUUUGUAUUACAGUGCGAUAGUGACUCAUUAAAAGUCUUGUAAGUUAUAAAGUAAAUAAAGAAAUGUUUACUGUAGUAUAAUAGUGAUUUAAUAGAUUUGUUGAAUGGUUACACAUUGGCUAGUUGUGAAAUAAAUGUGAAUUUUGAGUUCAA